rnacentral:lncRNA from 1 species
AUAAUAGUUCAGGGCAAUACUAGUUCAUAUGUGCCCUGGUCCUUUAUGGAUCUGAAAGGCCUAGUUGAACAACUACCCAACAUAACCGCAGGAGGGCAGAAGUGGAUCACUGCCUUUGAAGACAAGACAUCAGGCUACACCAUAGCCAUUGGAGACAUUAAGGCUAUCCUGUCACACUCCGUUGGAAAAGCUAGAAUGGAAGACAUAUUUUCAUUGGCCAAUUUUAAGAACCUGGCAACAAAGCAAUUCUUUGAAGACACACCCUUCAACUACUACAGAAACAGACUUUGGGAUGCCAUUCGUCAAGAAUUUCCCACUGACAUGGAUCCAAGCCAGCUAGACUCACUUGAACUGAAACCUGAUACCUCUGCCAGCGAAUACAUCAUCAACUUUCAAAAGAAGUGGUUAGAGGAAACAGGAACGGCUUGGAACUCUUCCAACCAGUGUCUGUUCAAAAUGAUGCUGAGAAAGAGCUUACCCAAAGAAGUGCAAGACGCACUUGAUGAAGUAGUGGGCUUAAAUAACAUGGAAUGGAACAUGUUCAAAGAUCACAUCAUCCAUCAUGCUGAACGAUACAAGAAGAAGAAGGCACAGAACAAAGAAGAAUUGGAGAAAAUAGCUCUGCAGCUGCAGAGAGCACAACUGACAGAGUUGAAGAAGAAAGAUAAAAAAUCAACCGACCUCAUGGCAGUAAUGACCCCUGACAAACCCAAGGCACCAGGUGCAACCAAUCAAAUUUUACCUGUAUUGACUACACAAGCACCUGUACAACAGCCAAUGCAAGGGCAGCAGGGGAUGCAACCACAACAGCCUGUUCCUACAAUUCAGAUGUUUCCUGCAACACCAAUGAUGCCAAUCAAUACCAUGCCACAAAAUCAAGGCAUGCAGCCCAACAAUGUUCAAAUGACCAAUCCCACUCUCAACCAGCUCCAACGGCCUAUGCCACCUGUGAAUGUUUAUGUCAACACAGGCUUAGGCAAUAGGGGAGGAGCCAGAGGCAGAGGAAGAGGUAGAGGCCGUGGAAUGCCUCGAACAUCAACCCAUUUGGAAUGCCUAAUGCGCAGACCCUGGAUCAAUUAGACACAUUUGACACUCAAGGUCAAAAUUUCCAACAAGGUCAUAAUUUCCAACAAGGCCAAGGAUACCAGCAAGGUCAAAACUACCAACAAAGCCAAGGCUAUCGACAAGCUGGACCUUCUCCAGUUUGCUACACAUGUCACCAACCUGGCCACUACUCAAGAAACUGUCCGAAUGCCACAUGGUACUGAAGAUGCCCGGAAAGCCUCGAGGGGGAGAACAUUCAAUUGGCAGUAUCAAAUUCGUCUAGUAGUGACCCAAAAGUACAGGUUA